GUCCUGGGCCCGGGGAAAACACAGCGCGCAGACAGUGAUAAUGUUGUCGGACCGCGUAAGGGGAGGCGCUCUGAUUUCGACUGGACUGACGAUAUUAUCCAUCUACUCAUUUCUGGUCUUCGCUGUGCCAUUCUUCGAUGCCAACCACCUGGUUCACGCUUACGUGCCCGGUCCACUCUACGUUUUCGGAAUACCGGCUCUCAUUUUCACCUUCAGUUUCGUGUAUGCUGCCUUCUUCGUCGGGUACUGUUUGAAGAAAGGCGAGACACCCUUCUAGCCUUCCGCUCCUGCUGAUCAUUCGCUCCUUCGCAUCUGAGCAUACAGGAUCCUGCACUCAUAAGCUGCUGGAAGCAUGUCGUCAGACUCUUCAACAUUCACCCGAGAAGUCUGGUUGGACUCCCUGCGAGAACCUCUGGUCAUCCACCAGGAAACGGUCAGCGACGUUGGCGGGGUCGUCUGGGACGGUGCCCUCGUUCUGGCAGCCUUCAUGGCCAAAUUCAAAGCAGAUUUCGUGAAAAACUCCACUGUUGUUGAGCUCGGAUGUGGUACGGGGAUCGUGGGUCUCGUCUGUGCCACCCUACCGGCGAAAAAAGUUGUGCUCUCAGACCUGUGUGCUAUUCAAGCGUUGGUGGAGAAGAAUAUCCGACAAAACAGAGCGCUUCUGAAAGCCGAGUGCGUAUUUAUGCCCCUCGACUGGAAUCACCCUGAAGACUUCGAACUGGCAGAGAUGCCGAAGAUCAUCAUCGCAUCAGAGUGCGUGUAUUAUGAAGAGGCCAUUGAACCACUCGUGGAGACAAUGAAGGCUCUGAGUGGACCGGAAACUCGUACUUUUGUGUCUUUCGAAUUUCGCCAACACGAGAAGAAUCUGUCAGCUUUAAAGAAGUUUCUCAAAUCGGCGAAGGAGUCUUUCGAGGUGAAGGAAAUUCCGUACGAAGAGCAACAUGAGGAGUAUCGCAGCGAAGAUAUCAAGUUGUUAUUGCUCCGCAGCAAAUCGGCGUCGUGAUUUCCUCGCAUUCUGGCCCGAAAAUUUUCUAAGGAGGAUUUUGAGAAUAAAUAGGUCUUUUUU